UUGGUUAAGUUAGAAAGGGCGCACGGUGGAUGCCUUGGCACUAGGAGCCGAAGAAGGACGGGACUAACACCGAUAUGCUUUGGGGAGCUGUACGUAAGCGUUGAUCCAGAGAUUUCCGAAUGGGGGAACCCACUAUCUUUAGUCGGAUAGUAUCCUUACGUGAAUACAUAGCGUGAGGAAGGCAGACCCAGGGAACUGAAACAUCUAAGUACCUGGAGGAAGAGAAAGAAAAAUCGAUUUCCUGAGUAGCGGCGAGCGAAACGGAAAGAGCCCAAACCAAGAAGCUUGCUUCUUGGGGUUGUAGGACACUCUAUACGGAGUUACAAAAGAAAGUUAUAAAUGAAGCGGUCUGGAAAGGCCCGCCAAAGACGGUAACAGCCCGGUAGUUGAAAUGGCUUUCCCUCCAGAGUGGAUCCUGAGUACGGCGGAACACGUGAAAUUCCGUCGGAAUCCGGGAGGACCAUCUCCCAAGGCUAAAUACUCCCUAGUGACCGAUAGUGAACCAGUACCGUGAGGGAAAGGUGAAAAGCACCCCGGAAGGGGAGUGAAACAGUUCCUGAAACCGUGUGCCUACAAGUAGUUAGAGCCCGUUAAUGGGUGAUAGCGUGCCUUUUGUAGAAUGAACCGGCGAGUUACGAUUUGUUGCAAGGUUAAGCGGAAAAAGCGGAGCCGUAGCGAAAGCGAGUCUGAAUAGGGCGCAUAAGUAACAGGUCGUAGACCCGAAACCAGGUGAUCUACCCAUGUCCAGGAUGAAGGUAAGGUAAUACUUACUGGAGGUCCGAACCCACGCACGUUGAAAAGUGCGGGGAUGAGGUGUGGGUAGCGGAGAAAUUCCAAUCGAACUUGGAGAUAGCUGGUUCUCUCCGAAAUAGCUUUAGGGCUAGCCUCGAGGUAAAGAGUCAUGGAGGUAGAGCACUGUUUGGACUAGGGGCCCUUCUCGGGUUACCGAAUUCAGAUAAACUCCGAAUGCCAUGUACUUAUACUCGGGAGUCAGACUGCGAGUGAUAAGAUCCGUAGUCGAAAGGGAAACAGCCCAGACCACCAGUUAAGGUCCCCAAAUAUAUGUUAAGUGGAAAAGGAUGUGGGGUUGCUUAGACAACCAGGAUGUUGGCUUAGAAGCAGCCACCAUUGAAAGAGUGCGUAAUAGCUCACUGGUCGAGUGACCCCGCGCCGAAAAUGUACCGGGGCUAAACAUAUUACCGAAACUGUGGAUGAA
rnacentral:rRNA from 1 species